GUUGGUUUGUCCGAGUGGUUAAGGAGACAGAUUAGAAAUCUGUUGGGCUCUGCCCGCACAGGUUCAAAUCCUGUAGCCGACG
rnacentral:tRNA from 1 species